rnacentral:rRNA from 1 species
ACGAUGGAGAGUUUGAUCCUGGCUCAGGAUGAACGCUAGCGGCAGGCCUAAUACAUGCAAGUCGAACGGGCCGCAAGGUCAGUGGCAAACGGGUGCGU